UUAGCUCCUCUGGCCUCUUAUCAACUCUAUGAGACCCAGAUCUUGACUGCUGUCGUUGCCUUUCAGUUCGCUUUGCUUGGUCCUUGAUGCUUUUCUGUUGGAUAGCUAGUUUUACUACCAACCUGAGUAAAAGCAUGGAUGCAAUCCCAAAUGAGGCUGCUAGGUCUUGUCUGAGGAGGGUGCCCGUUGUUGAUGACUUGGUGGCGUCCAAGUUAGAAAUGGAUAAACAAGGUGUGGGGAUUCCGAUUUUAAGCGCCCAGAGAAGACGAUUUACCAGCAUUAUUCCUGGAGCGCUCAUGAUGGAGAUUCUAGAUUGCCAAAACACUAACCUCUUACAAAUUACAAUUCCCGUGCACUGGCGUGUUAAAUGGUCUGUCUACUAAUUCACAAACGCAUUUCCCGAAAGAAUCGUUUAACUGAAGGGUGAACAAACAUCAGUUUGUUUCCCUGAUUAUUGU